UUGGCUCUGAUGAAAAUCAGAACCGAUUGUUACGCGGAGAGCCCAACUGUUUAAUAAAAACGUAGUGUCGCGCUGUGGUAGUAUAGCCAGUGAACGCGACAUGAAUCCUGCUCAGUGCUGUGUCUGUUAAUAUGGUUCAAGCCAACGAAGCACCGGUAAAUAGCUGGGGUAACUAUGACUCUUAUCAAAGUAGCGAAAUACCUCGUCACUUAAUUAGUGACCUGCAUGAACGGAGCUAUGAGGUUCUCACUGUCCCAAACUGUCUCUCAGCGAACCAACUGUAGUGGGAACGGUCACUAGAUAUCCAGCGGGGAAAGAAGACCCUGUAGAGCUUCACUUUGGUCUAGUCUUGUAUAGUUCCUGCGGGGGUGUAGACUAGGUGGGAGAGCAAUCGAUUCUGACAACCACUACCCUGUUUGGAAUUAUGCUUACCUAUCACAAGGAAUAGGACUAGAUAGAAAGUUUGGCUGGGGCGGCACACCUUCGAAAGAGCAGCGAAGGUGUCCUAAGUUGAGCUCAGUGAGGACAGAAAUCUCACGUUGAGGAUAAGGCCAAAAGCUCAAUUUACUGUGCCUUUUUGUACUAGGAUCAGUUACGAAAGUAAGGCCUAACGAUCCCUAAAUAGCCUCAGGUGCGUGAGGAUUGGGGUGACAGACAAGUUACCUCCGGGACAACUGGCUUGUGGCUGCUAAGAGAUCAAAUCAACGCAGCUUUUUGAUUCUUCGAUGUCGGCUCUUCCUAU
rnacentral:ncRNA from 1 species